CCGCCCCCGGAAGUCGACUCGGCUGCGGAGGGGGCUGGUAGGUGCUUGCGCGUCUCUGUGGAGUCGGGACCUGGUCCCAACAUUCCUGGAACGAAGCAAUUCUUGGGAGCUAGGUAGGGGCCCCUGGCAUAGAAAUCCUACCUGCAGGGAGCAAACACUCCUCUGCUUCUCAUCAGAGCUGCAGAGCAGAGAGAGAAGAACAGGGAGAGAAGGGUCUAGAUUUGAAUGGUCAUAAGCAAUUCUUGAUCUUCCUGGCCAGAGUGGACCAGACGAUGAUGGUGUUUGCCACAUCAGGAAGCCAUCUCAGGCUGUGACAAGGAACUCCCACGACUCUGCUAUUAACCAAUGGGCAGAAGAUUCGACUAGACAUUUUUCCGAAGAAGACAUCCAGAUGGCCACCAGGUCCAUGAGAAAAUGCUCAACAUCACUCAUCAUCAGGGAAAUGCAAUGAAAUGUCACUGCACACCUGUCAGACUGGCUAUUAUC